CUUCGGGGUGAGUAGAGUGGCGCACGGGUGAGUAAUGCAUGGGAACAUACCUUUAGAUGGGGGAUAACAGUUGGAAACGACUGCUAAUACCGCAUAGUCUCUUCGGAGUAAACGAGGCCUCUACUUGUAAGCUACGGUCUAAAGAUUGGCCCAUGUCGCAUUAGCUUGUUGGUGAGGUAACGGCUCACCAAGGCUACGAUGCGUAGCUGGUCUGAGAGGAUGAUCAGCCACACUGGAACUGAGACACGGUCCAGACUCCUACGGGAGGCAGCAGUGGGGAAUAUUGCACAAUGGGCGGAAGCCUGAUGCAGCAACGCCGCGUGGGUGAAGAAGGCUCUUGGGUCGUAAAGCCCUUUCGGCAGAGAAGAAGGGUAACUUUUCGAAUAGGUAAGUUGCUUGACGGUAUCUGCAUAAGAAGCACCGGCUAAUUUCGUGCCAGCAGCCGCGGUAAUACGAAAGGUGCAAGCGUUGUUCGGAAUAACUGGGCGUAAAGCGCUCGUAGGCUGGAAUUCAGGUCGAUUGUGAAAUCCCAGGGCUCAACCUUGGAACUGCAGUCGAAACCGGAUUUCUUGAAUGCUCGAGAGGGUGGGGGAAUUCCUAGUGGAGAAGUGAAAUUCGUAGAGAUUAGGAGGAACACCAGAGGCGAAGGCGCCUACCUGGCGAUGCAUUGACGCUGAGGAGCGAAAGUGUGGGGAGCAAACAGGAUUAGAUACCCUGGUAGUCCACACCGUAAACGAUGGAUACUAGGCGUUUGGGGAGUUAACCCCCUGAGUGCCGCAGUUCACACAUUAAGUAUCCCGCCUGGGGAGUACGGUCGCAAGGCUAAAACUCAAAGGAAUUGACGGGGGCCCGCACAAGCGGUGGAGUAUGUGGUUUAAUUCGAAGCAACGCGCAGAACCUUACCUGGCCUUGACAUCCCGGGACAACCUCAGAGAUGAGGCUUUCUCUUCGGAGACUCGGUGACAGAUGCUGCAUGGCUGUCGUCA
rnacentral:rRNA from 1 species